GCGGAUAUGGUGGAAUUGGUAGACACCCCGGUUUUAGGUACCGGUGCCUUCGGGCGUAAGAGUUCGAGUCUCUUUAUCCGCACCA
rnacentral:tRNA from 1 species